rnacentral:rRNA from 1 species
GGGUUGUGAGGUUAAGCGACUAAGCGUACACGGUGGAUGCCUUGGCAGUCAGAGGCGAUGAAGGACGUGCUAAUCUGCGAUAAGCGUCGGUAAGGUGAUAUGAACCGUUAUAACCGGCGAUUUCCGAAUGGGGAAACCCAGUGUGAUUCGUCACACUAUCAUUAACUGAAUCCAUAGGUUAAUGAGGCGAACCGGGGGAACUGAAACAUCUAAGUACCCCGAGGAAAAGAAAUCAACCGAGAUUCCCCCAGUAGCGGCGAGCGAACGGGGAGCAGCCCAGAGCCUGAAUCAGUGUGUGUGUUAGUGGAAGCGUCUGGAAAGGCGUGCGAUACAGGGUGACAGCCCCGUACACAAAAAUGCACAUACUGUGAGCUCGAUGAGUAGGGCGGGACACGUGGUAUCCUGUCUGAAUAUGGGGGGACCAUCCUCCAAGGCUAAAUACUCCUGACUGACCGAUAGUGAACCAGUACCGUGAGGGAAAGGCGAAAAGAACCCCGGCGAGGGGAGUGAAAAAGAACCUGAAACCGUGUACGUACAAGCAGUGGGAGCACGCUUAGGCGUGUGACUGCGUACCUUUUGUAUAAUGGGUCAGCGACUUAUAUUCUGUAGCAAGGUUAACCGAAUAGGGGAGCCGAAGGGAAACCGAGUCUUAACUGGGCGUUAAGUUGCAGGGUAUAGACCCGAAACCCGGUGAUCUAGCCAUGGGCAGGUUGAAGGUUGGGUAACACUAACUGGAGGACCGAACCGACUAAUGUUGAAAAAUUAGCGGAUGACUUGUGGCUGGGGGUGAAAGGCCAAUCAAACCGGGAGAUAGCUGGCUCUCCCCGAAAGCUAUUUAGGUAGCGCCUCGUGAAUUCAUCUCCGGGGGUAGAGCACUGUUUCGGCAAGGGGGUCAUCCCGACUUACCAACCCGAUGCAAACUGCGAAUACCGGAGAAUGUUAUCACGGGAGACACACGGCGGGUGCUAACGUCCGUCGUGAAGAGGGAAACAACCCAGACCGCCAGCUAAGGUCCCAAAGUCAUGGUUAAGUGGGAAACGAUGUGGGAAGGCCCAGACAGCCAGGAUGUUGGCUUAGAAGCAGCCAUCAUUUAAAGAAAGCGUAAUAGCUCACUGGUCGAGUCGGCCUGCGCGGAAGAUGUAACGGGGCUAAACCAUGCACCGAAGCUGCGGCAGCGACGCUUAUGCGUUGUUGGGUAGGGGAGCGUUCUGUAAGCCUGUGAAGGUGUGCUGUGAGGUAUGCUGGAGGUAUCAGAAGUGCGAAUGCUGACAUAAGUAACGAUAAAGCGGGUGAAAAGCCCGCUCGCCGGAAGACCAAGGGUUCCUGUCCAACGUUAAUCGGGGCAGGGUGAGUCGACCCCUAAGGCGAGGCCGAAAGGCGUAGUCGAUGGGAAACAGGUUAAUAUUCCUGUACUUGGUGUUACUGCGAAGGGGGGACGGAGAAGGCUAUGUUGGCCGGGCGACGGUUGUCCCGGUUUAAGCGUGUAGGCUGGUUUUCCAGGCAAAUCCGGAAAAUCAAGGCCGAGGCGUGAUGACGAGGCACUACGGUGCUGAAGCAACAAAUGCCCUGCUUCCAGGAAAAGCCUCUAAGCAUCAGGUAACAUCAAAUCGUACCCCAAACCGACACAGGUGGUCAGGUAGAGAAUACCAAGGCGCUUGAGAGAACUCGGGUGAAGGAACUAGGCAAAAUGGUGCCGUAACUUCGGGAGAAGGCACGCUGAUACGUAGGUGAAGCGACUUGCUCGUGGAGCUGAAAUCAGUCGAAGAUACCAGCUGGCUGCAACUGUUUAUUAAAAACACAGCACUGUGCAAACACGAAAGUGGACGUAUACGGUGUGACGCCUGCCCGGUGCCGGAAGGUUAAUUGAUGGGGUUAGCGCAAGCGAAGCUCUUGAUCGAAGCCCCGGUAAACGGCGGCCGUAACUAUAACGGUCCUAAGGUAGCGAAAUUCCUUGUCGGGUAAGUUCCGACCUGCACGAAUGGCGUAAUGAUGGCCAGGCUGUCUCCACCCGAGACUCAGUGAAAUUGAACUCGCUGUGAAGAUGCAGUGUACCCGCGGCAAGACGGAAAGACCCCGUGAACCUUUACUAUAGCUUGACACUGAACAUUGAGCCUUGAUGUGUAGGAUAGGUGGGAGGCUUUGAAGUGUGGACGCCAGUCUGCAUGGAGCCGACCUUGAAAUACCACCCUUUAAUGUUUGAUGUUCUAACGUGGACCCGUGAUCCGGGUUGCGGACAGUGUCUGGUGGGUAGUUUGACUGGGGCGGUCUCCUCCUAAAGAGUAACGGAGGAGCACGAAGGUUGGCUAAUCCUGGUCGGACAUCAGGAGGUUAGUGCAAUGGCAUAAGCCAGCUUGACUGCGAGCGUGACGGCGCGAGCAGGUGCGAAAGCAGGUCAUAGUGAUCCGGUGGUUCUGAAUGGAAGGGCCAUCGCUCAACGGAUAAAAGGUACUCCGGGGAUAACAGGCUGAUACCGCCCAAGAGUUCAUAUCGACGGCGGUGUUUGGCACCUCGAUGUCGGCUCAUCACAUCCUGGGGCUGAAGUAGGUCCCAAGGGUAUGGCUGUUCGCCAUUUAAAGUGGUACGCGAGCUGGGUUUAGAACGUCGUGAGACAGUUCGGUCCCUAUCUGCCGUGGGCGCUGGAGAACUGAGGGGGGCUGCUCCUAGUACGAGAGGACCGGAGUGGACGCAUCACUGGUGUUCGGGUUGUCAUGCCAAUGGCACUGCCCGGUAGCUAAAUGCGGAAGAGAUAAGUGCUGAAAGCAUCUAAGCACGAAACUUGCCCCGAGAUGAGUUCUCCCAGACCCUUUAAGGGUCCUGAAGGAACGUUGAAGACGACGACGUUGAUAGGCCGGGUGUGUAAGCGCAGCGAUGCGUUGAGCUAACCGGUACUAAUGAACCGUGAGGCUUAACCUUACAACGCCGAAG